UUAAUUAUUUUGUCUGCUCCAGAGUUUUUUGUUUGUUGCUUGCAUCAUCUAAACUGUUUUUGUUCAGAAAUCAUGCAGGCAUCAAAAUUUUAGUCAAGUUCUGCAAUGGUGGACGAUUAUAUGCAUCUCUUUAUGAUAAUGUUUCUGGACAUUCUCAGCUUUAUGUGGAGUCGGAGAAAUGUAUUGGGAAUUUGAAGUGGCUUUGGUUCCAUGGUGAGGUGUCAGUUAUUGGUGUACAAUGCAUGGGGUGUGGAUUGAAAUCAGUUCUUGCAUUGAAUAUCUACAACGAUCCUCAAAUUAAAGGUGUGAAUGCUUUAGUCUAAUUUCUGAAAUGGUGGAUGAUACAAUGUGCUCUCAUGAUGACAAUGUUUCUGGAAAGUCUCAGUUUUAUGUUUGGUUGGAGAAAUGUAUUGAGGAUUUGAAGGGCUUUUGUUCCAUAGGAAGGUGUUGGCAGUUAGUGUGCAUUGUCUGGAAGAUGAUGGGAAGACUUCUCUCACAUUGGAUCAAUGCAAUGAUCCAAAUUAAAGGUCUAGAAUGGUUGAUGAGUACAAGGAUUCUCAUGAUGAUAAUGUUCCUGCAGAAUCUCUGUUUUGUGUUGGGUUGAAGAAAUGUAUUUAGAUUUGGUGUUUUUGUUCCACAGCGAGGUGUCCAUUGUUGGUGUGCAAUGUAUGUGCAUUGUGAAGUGGUGAGAAAACCGCUCACAUGCACAUUCAAUUUCUACAAUGAUCAUGAAAUUAAAGGUGAAAUGGCGGUUCCUUCAAAUUGUUCUGUUUCUAAAUUGUGUUUAUCAGAGAGAAGGUCACUCAGUUUCAAAUUUUUAGUUCCUCAUAACUGUCAAGAUUAAGGGACUGUUCCUCUGUAUGUGAGGUAUUCCCUCUUAUUUGUUUUUGUCUUGUUUUUGGGUGGGCUAACCCAAGGAUAUCAUGUAAAUGCGAUUAUUUAUCUUAUUUACAGUUGUUUUCUGGUUGCAUUUAUUAUAUCAACUGGUUUUGCUCAGAAAUCUUGUAGGCCUGGAUAUUCUAGUGUAAGUUCUCAAAUUGUUUUUCCUGAAAAGUGUCAGUUUUAUAUGGGGCUGGAGAAAUGUACUGAGGAUAUGAAGGGGCUUUUGUUCUACAGUGAGGUGUCGUCAUUGGUGUGCAUUGUAUGGGAGGUUGUGGGAAAUCAACUCUCAGAUUGAAUUUUUAUAGUGACCCUCAAAUCAAAGGUGAAGUGGUUGUCCCCUCAAUUUUUUUUUGUUCUAAGUCGUCUUUACCAGAGAGAAGAGCACCCAUUUUCAAAUUUUAGGUCAUCAUAACUGUCAGGAUUAAGGGCUCUGUUCCACUGUAUGUGAGAUAUUCCAUCUUCUUUAUUUCUGACUUAUUUUUGGGUGGCUUAUUCCACGGAUUUCAUAUAAACUCAAUCAUUUACCUGCUCCAGAUUUAUUUUUUGUUUGCACCUAUUGCGUGAAUUGGUUUUGCUCAGAAAUCAUGCAGGCCUGGAUAUUCUAGUCUAAGUUCUCAAAUUAUUUUUCCUGAAAAGUCUCGGUUUUAUAUGGGGCUGGAUAAAUGUACUGAGGAUAUGAAGGGGUUUUUGUUCCACAGUGAGGUGUCGUCAUUGGUGUGCAUUGUAUGGGAGGUGGUGGGAAAUCAACUCUCAGAUUGAAUUUUUACAGUGACCCUCAAAUUAAAGGUGAAGUGGUUGUUCCCUCAAUUUCUGCGUUUCUAAGUCGUCUUUACCAGAGAGAAGUUCAACCAGCUCCAAACUUUAGGUCAUCAUAACUGUCAGGAUUUUAAGGGCUCUGUUCCGCUGUAUGUGAGAUAUUCCUUCUUUAUUUCUGACUUAUUUUUGGGUGGCUUAUUCCAUGGAUUUCAUAUAAACUCAAUCAUUUACCUGCUCCAGAUUUAUUUUUUGUUUGCACCUAUUGCCUGAUUUGGUUUUGUUCAGAAAUCACGCCUAUGUGAAUACUCUAGUCUAAAUUCUGAAAUGGUGGAUGAUUCCCUGCAUUCUCAUGAUGAUAAUGCUCCUGGAAAGUCUCAGAUUGAUGUGGUGUUGGGGAAGGAUAUUGCGGAUUUGAAGAGGCCUUGGUACCACAGCGAGGUGUUGGUAGUUGGCGUGCAAUGUAAAAUGGUGGUUAACUCAAUUUUUUUCGGUUUCUAAAUUAUCUUUACCAGAGAGAAGGUCACCCUGUUUCAAACUGUUUAGGUCCUCAUAACUGUCAAUAUUAAGGAGCCGUUCCUCUGUGUGUGAGCCUGUGAGGUAUUCCCUCUUAUUUGCUUGUCUUGUUGAGGGGUGACUUAUCUUAUGGAUGACAUAUAAAUUCAAUUAUUUAUUUGUUCCAGAGUUUUUUGGUUGCAUAUAAUGUCUGAACUGGUUUUGUCAAGAAAUCAUGCAGGCACGAAUAUUCUAGUGUAAGUUUAUGAUUUCCAUGCACUUUCAUGAUGAAAACGUUUCUGGAAAGUCUCAGUUUUAUGCGAGGCUGGAGAAAUGUAUUGAGAAUUUGAAGGGGCUUUUUGUUCCAUGGUAAGAUGUCGGUUGUUGGUCUCCAUUGUAUGGAGGUGAUGGAAAAACAACUCUCACAUCGAAUCUCUACAAUUACCCUCAAAUUAAAGGUGGGAUGAUGAUUCCCUCAAUUUUUCGUGUUUCUAAGUUGUCUUUACCAGAGAGAAAGCCACCCUAUUUCAAAUUUUUAGGUCCUUGUCACUGUCAACUGUCAAGAUUAAGGGUUAUGUUCCUCCGUUCGUGAGGUAUUCCCUCUUAUUUGUUUGUCUUGUUUUUGGGUGGCCUAUCCCAUGGACAUCAUAUGAAUUCAAUCAAUUAUCUGUUUCAGAGUUGUUUCUUGGUUUCAUCAAUUGUCCAAACUGGUUUUGUUCAGAAAUAAUGCAGGCAUGAAUACUCUAGUAAGUUCUGAAAUGGUGGAUCAUUCCACACAUUUUCAUGGUGACAAUGUUCCUGGAAAGUUUCAAUUUCGCGUGGAGAUAGAGAAAUUAAUUGGGCAUUUGAAGGGGCUUUUGUUCCACAGUGAAGUGUCGGUUGUUGGUGUGCAACAUAUGGGAGGUGGUGGGAAAUCACAUUGAAUCUCUACAAUAAUCCUCAAAUUAAACGUGAAAUGGUGGUUCCCUCAAUUUUGUUUUGUUAUUAUCUUAACCAAAGAGAAGAUCACCAUAUUUCAAAAUUUUAGGUCAUCUUAUCUGUCAAGA